GACCGAUCCACCUGCGUGCCGUCACUGCUCACAUCCUUCCCCUAAUUUCUUUGCUUUCUCGAUCUGCAGCAGCAGCAGCGUCUCCAUGGACGCGGCGUCGUGACGGCUUCCAGGCACGGAUCCCCUCCUCCGCCUCCAUCCUCCACCUCUCUGGUCGCCCGGUUGCAACGCAGCAACUCCUUCCUACCUUCCAUGGAUGAGCUCGACAGAGACGCCGUCCAGCCCGACCACGGCCACGACUACCCCUUCCUGCUCCCCCACCUUCUUCCAUGGUUCAAGAAGCUACAUACACUGCUACUGCUGUUUGCCAAAUUCAUUCCACUGAAGCCAUCUGCUUCGUCCACCAAGCCGUCCAGAAAGGUAGUUAUUGUGAAUUGAUGUUCGCACCGAGGCCGGAGGUGAGAGGGGAGGGCACGAAGGUCGGCGGCAAGUGCUCAGGAGAGAAGAGGAAGGCGGCGGUGGCUGCGGUUUACACGAGAGCGAGGUGACCUGCCCAGAAAGGUAGUUACAGUGAAUUGAUGUUCAUAUGAACUUCAAUGCUAUGACGUUUUUAUUAGAUCUGAGUUGCAAUCCUCAAUUUUUUUAGGUUUGAGUAGCAAUGCUCCUGCUCUACUAGCUAUGACAUUUUCCAUGUUUUUUCUUCUAAUAUCGUAUAGCCUCCAUGCUUAUGGGUUCAACUUGACAAGCUUUUUUCAUCUUGCAUCCUGUUUUAAGCUCCGUUGAUGCUUGAUUUCUGCCAUGUUUAUGGAGGGAGAGGACGCCAAGUACUAGGAGAAGGAUCAGUUUAGCAAGUACAGGCUGUAAUUCUCUUAUAAUUAUGGAUUGCUGAGAAGCACAACCUUUUGAUCUUUGAGAACCGCAAGUUUGCUGACACUGAAAACACAUUCAUUAUGCAAGACGAAUGAUCUGUGAAAGAAGAGAUGAAGAACAAUUUUAGCUGAAGAGUUGAAGAAGACCAAGGGUGCUUUGGAUGGUGGUCUUGAUAUUCCACACGGUGACAAGAGAUUUGGUGGCUUCAAGAAGGAUGAGAAGCAGCUGGACACUAAGAUUCACCACAAAUUCAUUUAUGAAGAUCAUGUUGCUGACUGCAUGAAGGUUACUGAAUCUUUCUUUAACUUCUGCCCUACCCUUAUUUCAGUUAAUAGUUGAUGAGGAGAUUGAGAAGUGCCAAUUUCACUUUAGUGGGUCCAUCAAGAAGGGGAUUGCGGCUAAUGACAUGGAAGCACUGUACAAGAAGGGUAGGGCAGCAUAUAGAAGUGCCAAAUGGGCUUUAGUGUGCUAGCAUAUAUAAGUGCUGCAACCACCAUUGUUCCGGCUGUGAGGUCACUGGAGAGGGAGUCUGGCUUGCGAGUUUCGCCAAUGCGGUCACAACGACGAUGCCAAACUAUGAGGAGAUACCAAAGGUGUACUGGGAGGCGGUGCUUCCUGGAAUCCCAAUGCGUCCACCUAUUAUCAACCUACUGUUAGCCCAGCAAAAUGAUGUGCUCUUUUGUUGGUUGCGGUUCUGCAUAACUAUUGCUGGUCGCUGGAGCAGAAGCAAUGAAGCUUGAAGUUUAUAAGUUCGGGGGAUGGCAACAAUACUGCUUUUUACGCUGCAUGUCACUGUUAUUUCAUGUUUCUGAAUUUAUGUCCCGAGAACUAAGUGUCGGUGUCGUUAAACUUUAAUGUUAUGUCAUGUCUUGAGAGUUUGGUUUGUGCGAGUGUGUACUAAACUACUCUUGGAUGCUAUGUUUGAGUCAAAUUGGUGUUAAAUCUACAACAUGUUGUUAUAUUUGUCACUUGUUUGCUACCACUGCUUGUAUGGGGUAU